rnacentral:misc_RNA from 1 species
GCACAGUCUCAACGGCCUCCACUUCCGGAAUUUUGUUCUGGAUGAUGUCUAUCGCAGCUUUCAUCAUAUCAACAUUCUUACGAGGGGCUACACCUUUGUCAUAGAAAUCCAACCUCUCCUCAACCUGCUCCCGCAGCUUCUCCCCAAACACAGUAGUACUUACAUCUGAAAAACAAUCAAUGCGAGUUGCUACAGAGCACUUGUUUGCAAGGUAUCGAGCCAUCCGGCCUUUAUUUU